rnacentral:tRNA from 1 species
GGGGCUGUAGCUCAGUUGGGAGAGCGCAUGCAUGGCAUGCAUGAGGUCAGGGGUUCGAACCCCCUCAGCUCCA